GCCAGGCACGGUGGUGCAUGCCUAUAGUCCCAGCUACUCGGGAGGCUGAGGCUGGAGGAUAUCUUGAGUCCAGGAGUUCUGGGCUGUAGUGCGCUAUAAUGAUUUGGUGUCCACACUAAGUUCAGCAUCAAUAUGGUGACCUCCUGGGAGUGGGGGACCGCCAGGUUGCCUAAGGAGGGGUGAGCUGGCCCAGGUCGGAAACAGAGCAGGUCAAAAUUCCUGUGUCGAUCCGUAGUGGGAUCGUACCUGUGAAUAGCUACUGCCCUCCAGCCUGGGCAACAUAGCAAGACCCCCAUCUCU
rnacentral:SRP_RNA from 1 species